AUACGGAGGAUCCGAGCGUUAUCCGGAUUUAUUGGGUUUAAAGGGUGCGCAGGCGGCCAUUUAAGUCAGCGGUUAAAUCGUGGGGCUCAACCCCAUUCUGCCGUUGAUACUGGGUGGCUUGAUUGCGGUCGAGGUUGGCGGAAUUCGUUGUGUAGCGGUGAAAUGCAUAGAUAUGACGAAGAACACCGAUUGCGUAGGCAGCUGACCAGAUCACAAAUGACGCUCAUGCACGAAAGUGCGGGGAUCGAACAGGAUUAGAUACCCUGGUAGUCCGCACAGUAAACGAUGAAUACUUGUUUUCGGCGAUAUAAUGUCGGAGGCAAAGCGAAAGCGAUAAGUAUUCCACCUGGGGAGUACGCCGGCAACGGUGAAACUCAAAUGAAUUGACGGGG
rnacentral:rRNA from 1 species